rnacentral:miRNA from 1 species
CCUCUUCCCCUUUUCUCGAUCUUA